rnacentral:antisense_RNA from 1 species
AGUAGCUAAAAAUAGUCAUUGGAUCAAAAGUUGGAUUGGUAAUCAGGCGGACAUUUUCUAUAUGAGUGUCAUAUAUUCCGCCAAAAAACAUGGCUUUUAGCACCAAUAAAAAUGCACCAAAACCCAGAAUAAUCAGGUGAUGUCCUAAGAUCAAACCUAGCUUUUUAGGAUCAUUCCA